CCUACGGGAGGCAGCAGUAGGGAAUAUUGGGCAAUGGAGGCAACUCUGACCCAGCCAUGCCGCGUGCAGGAUGAAGGCGUUAUGCGUUGUAAACUGCUUUUAUAUAGGAAGAAAUAGACCUUGCGAGGUAAGUUGACGGUACUAUAUGAAUAAGCACCGGCUAACUCCGUGCCAGCAGCCGCGGUAAUACGGAGGGUGCAAGCGUUGUCCGGAUUUAUUGGGUUUAAAGGGUGCGUAGGCGGUUUAUUAAGUCAGUGGUGAAAGACGGUCGCUCAACGAUUGCAGUGCCAUUGAUACUGGUAGACUUGAGUAUGAUUGAGGUAGCUGGAAUGGAUAGUGUAGCGGUGAAAUGCAUAGAUAUUAUCCAGAACACCAAUUGCGUAGGCAAGUUACUAAGUCAUAACUGACGCUGAGGCACGAAAGUGUGGGUAUCAAACAGGAUUAGAUACCCUGGUAGUCCACACUGUAAACGAUGAUAACUAACUGUUGGCUUUCGGGUCAGUGGUACAGAGAAAUCGUUAAGUUAUCCACCUGGGAAGUACGCCGGNAACGGUGAAACUUCAAGGAUUGACGGCNGAGAGNGCGAGACGACGACGAGGGAGAGG
rnacentral:rRNA from 1 species